CUAUAUUUAAUAUGUGCGUACCUUGAAAGGUCCUCAUGUCUGUCAGACAGUUUUCACUUGACCUCGACCUCAUUUCAUGGAUCAGUGAACAAGGUUAAGUUUUGGUGGUCAAGUCCAUAUCUCAGAUACUACAAGCAAUAGGGCUAGUAUAUUCGGUGUAUGGAAGGACUGUAAGGUGUACAUGUCCAACUGGCAGGUGUCAUCUGACCUUGACCUCAUUUUCAUGGUUCAGUGGUUAUAGUUUAAUUUUUGUGUUUUGGUCUGUUUUUCUCAUACUAUAUGCAAUAGGUCUACUAUAUUUGUUGUAUGGAAUGAUUGUAAGGUGUACCUAUCUAGCGGGCAGAUGUCAUCUGACCUUGACCUCAUUUUCAUGGUUCAGUGGUCAAAGUUAAGUUUUUGAGUUUUGGUCUUUUUAUCUAAUACUACAUGCCAUAGGUCAUCUAUAUUUGGUGUAUGGAAAUAUUUUAUGAUCUUUAUGUCAGUCGCGCAGAUUUUAUUUGACCGUGACCUCAUUUUCACGGUUCAUUGCACAGUGUUAAGUUUUUGUGUUUUGGUCUAUUUUUCUUAAACUAUAAGUAAUAGGUCAACUAUAUAUGUUGUAUAGAAGCAUUGUUAGCUGUACAUGUCUGCCUGGCAUGGUUCAUCUGACCUUGACCUCAUUUUCUAGGUUCAUUGGUCUUUGUUUAGUUAUCUUGGUUAAUGUUAAGUUUAUGUGACAGUUGUAUUAAAGCUUAGCUUUAUACUUAGGACUAUCAACAUAAUAUCAAUGAUUAGUAUAGAAGGCGAGACAUUUCAGCGUGUGCACUCUUGUGGUUAUUAUCUUGAAUAUUAUUAUAGAUAGAGAUAAACUGUAAACAGCAAAAAUGUUCAGCAAAGUAAGAUCUACAAAUAAGUCAACAGGACCAAAAUGGUCUGUUGAUUUCUUUAGGAGUUAUUGCCCUUUAUAGUCAAUUUUUAACCAUUUUGUAAAUCUUAGUUAUCUUUUACAAAAACCUUCUCCUCUGAAACUACUGGGUCAAAUUAAGCCAAACUUGGCCACAAUCAUCAUUGGGGUAAUUAGUUUAAAAAUUGUGUCCCGUGACCUGGCCAACCAACCAAGAUGGGGGCCAUGGCUAAAAAUAGAACAUAGGGGUGAAAUGUAGAUUUUGGCUUAUAACUCUGAAACCGCAGCCUUUAGAGCAAAUUUGACAUGGGGUAAAAUUGUUUAUCAGGUCAAGAUCUAUCUGCCCUGAAAUUUUCAGAUGAAUCUGACAACCUGUUGUUGGGUUGCUGCCCCUGAAUUGGUAAUUUUAAGGAAAUUUUGCUGUUUUUGGUUAUUAUCUUGAAUAUUAUUAUAGAUAGAUUAAACUGUAAACAUCAAUAAUGUUAAGCAAAGUAAGAUUUACAAAUAAGUCAACAUGACGGAAAUGGUCAAUUGACCCCUAAGGAGUUAUUGUCCUUUAUAGUCAAUUUUUAACAAUUUUCAUAAAAUUUGUAAAUUUUAACUAACAUUUUCCACUGAAACUACUGGGCCAAGUUCAUUAUAGAUAGAGAUAAUUGUAAGUAGCAAGAAUGUUCAGUAAAGUAAGAUGUACAAACACAUCACCAUCACUAAAACACAAAUUUUGUCAUGAAUCUAUCUGCUUCCUUUGUUUAAUAUUCACAUAGACCAAGGUGAGCGACACAGGCUCUUUAGAGCCUCUAGUUUACAGUU
rnacentral:lncRNA from 1 species